GAGAAGCGGGGGCGAGCCGCGGCGCGAACCCUCGCCCCCGAGCGGCGGCCCCGGCGCCUCCGCCGCGAGCGUCAGCCGCUUGGCAAGGAACGGGCUGGGCUGAGUCAUAAUAAAAGACGCGUUUGUCGAGCCAAGUGGGAAGAGGAGCCGCGGGCAGCAGUGUUCAAUGGCACAAGCCUCAACAAUUGGGAAGGAUUUUUUUUUUUAAUGGGCGAAACUGGAAACUUGCCGCCAUGGUGCCCAUCAAAAGAUAUGUUUCGUUUAUAAUUUGCAUAUAUUUUAUACAUAGUCUUUGAAUCUAAUAAAACUUUUAAAAGAAUUUUUAAAGCCCAUUGCUUGCAGAGCCAAAUUCCUGGUUAUAGCUUCGUGACUUAUGCAAGUUACUUGAAUUCUGUGCUUUUGUUUUUCAUCCAUGAAACAGGAUAAUAAAGGUACCUCCCUCAAGAGAGACUGCGAGAGAGCUUGGCAUCCUGCCUGCACUUAGCACUCGCUAAAUGUUAAUUGUUAUUUUAAAAUAGGAGGGAGGAGAUAAUAAAGAGGAACUUAGAUAACAGUUUUGAAUGGAAGAAGAUACGAAUAUAAAUCAAGAUUUUUCUUUUUUCAAGUGGAGUAAAUUAGACAAAUUACCAAUGGAAGAGAAGAAAGUGGAGCCUGGAAGGAACAAAUGGGGCUAAGAGAAGUAGCUGAAGCGAGGGAAGGAAGAAGGGGGAAGGAGGAAAAAAGAGAGGAAGAGGGGAGAAUAAAAGCCUCCAAGGAGCAAACGAGGCUGAAAGAUGUGGCUGAAGGUAGGGAAGGAAGAAAAAGGGAGGAAGAGAAGAAGAGAUAAAACCAAGGAAGCAAGAAUAAAAAACUAGGCUGCGUGGGAAGAGGGGAGGAAGGAAGGAGAGAAAUUCAACUAGGCUCAGUGGCCAAAAUGCUGAAGUGUGUCCUGCCGGGAGGGAGUGGAGGAAUAUGUUUACUCACUAUUUAGAAAUGCAUGACAAACUCCAUCCGCUGAGGGAGCUUUUUACAAUGUAUAAACAGAUAAACAACCGUCUAAAAAUGAGCCCCAAAUGAGGAGCCUUUGCUCCAGUGAAUGAGAUUUGGCAGUUCUGCAAAAUGAGGAAAUUCUUCCUUGUGCGGCAUCUUGAAGGGUUGAGUCAUGAAACCCACAGCAAAUAUUAGUGGGCUGGAUUCCUGAAAGGCAUGCCAGAUGGACGCAUUCUGCUUAGUUUUACUGUGUGAUGUUCCCUUCUGUACUUCUGUCAAUUUUAGAAGAAAAGAGUGUGAAUAAAGAUUUGAGAAGUGGACUUAAAAGCCAAACUAGUUACUUAAUGUACGAGUAUCCACCCACCAGGAGCUUACAGUUACAGAUUCCAAAACAAGCAACCGUUUCUCCCACUUUCAUUUUCCCUCCCCUUUGUUUCUACUUUCACCGUAUUGCUUUUUAUCCAUUUUUAUAAUAUGAUUUUUUACAGUGGAACCGCCUACAGGAAAGGUGCUUUUAAUUAAUACGAAAGAAUGGAAGGAAUUUCAGCUAGGCCUCUCUAAGAGAGUAAAGCUUUGUGAAAGAAAGGUUUUUUAGCUGAAGUUUUAAUGAGAAUAAGAGUAGUUGGCAGAUGUGAAAUCAGAAGUUUUUUCAGACAAACAAGAAAAUAAUACGACUCGAGUGAAAGGGAAUGGACUAGAAAUCAGAAACAGUUCUAUUCCUGAAUUACCGUAAGAACCAAAGACUGGAGGAAAGUUUUCCUAUUCUAUAAAGAAAAAUGGGGGCCUCCCUCCACCAGCCAGACCUUCAAAAAAGAGGAAAAAAUAAAAAUUAAAAAGCUCUAUUAGAUUCUUGUAAUGAUUUGCUUUUUCUUGGGAGGACUUCUUCAGGGUAAAAGACGUGAAAGUGCUUCUUUUCGGCACCUUCUGACGAAAUACUUUUGUAGAAGCAAAAUUUCUGAAGGGAUAAUUUUUGCUCAAGCAAAAAACUAUUAGUAAGAUAAGAAUCCCUUUUCCUUUGUUUCAAUUUUGCUAAGCCUUCAGGCUGAGGCAAACAGAUUAUCAUUAAACCUUUAUUAAUGUGAAACCAAAAAAAGAUAAAAUCUUAAAUGCUGCGAAGCCCUUAACCUAAAAGGAGCGAGAAAACAAACCAAGGCCCAGAAAAUAGAGAAAGAGAUUAGGAAGCCUUUCUAAGGGGAACCUUUGAACUGUGGGCUGUAAAAUAAUGUCUGUGACUUGCCUUAAACAAAUAGGCAAUAUAAACUAAAGCUGGGAACUAAGAAGAUCUCCUCAGAUCAGAUAAAAAGCUUACCUUGUGUGAAACACUGCGGUCAAAGAAGAAAAUUGCUUUCAUCUUAAGUGGAGACAAAAACAUGUAUCACUUGUUUUGUGUGUGCUCAUAAAACACCUCCAUCACCUGAAUCCCUUGGGUGCAAUUUUUUGAUGGACUUGGCAUUCUUUAAACUGAACCUUGACUCAGGUUUUGAUCAUGUGAAUUUAUCCAGAGGUGGAUUGUGAGUACAACUUGAAUGGAACUGGAGGCCAUUAUUCUAAGUGAAGUAACUCGGGAAUUGAAAACCAGAUAUCCUAUGUUCUCACUUAUAAGUUGGACCUAAGCUAUGGAUAAGCAAAGGCAUACUGAGUGAUAUAAUGGAUAUUGGAGACUCAGAGAGGGGAGAGAAGAAGGAGGGACUCAGACUGAUAAACCAUUUGCAUGAGAGAACUAUACACCAUUUGAAAAAGAGCUUUUUUGCAAGGUGUGGUGGCUAACUCCUGUAACCCUGGCAACUCAAAAGGCUGAGGCAGGAGGAUCACUUGGGGCCAGGAGGUGGAGACUAGCCUGGGCAAUACAGCAAGAUCCUGUCUCUAAAAUAAAGAAACAAAUAAAAGAAAAAGAAAAACAGCUUUUGGUAUACUACUGGACUCACAUAGAAACCAAUCUUCUGAACCUAGAACAUCAAAUGACCACAUAAUAAAAUUAUCUAUCUUGAACUGAGUUAGAUCAUUAGUUAACAAGUCAUAACAUUAGGCAACCUCAUCAGCGAUCUGUUGUAAAAUGGAAGUGUUAUAUUUAAAGUUUUGGGCUCAAUUAAGUCCAGAGAGCUUAAGUAAGCUUCAAGAAAGAUGGCUUGGACCUCCAUGUCACCUGAAAAUGUUGCAUUAACAACACUUCCUCAGCCUCAUGGGAGGAAUUCUCCAUUACCAGCUGAUAGAGAAAGACAGUUUGAGUUUGAUCCAUGGAUAGACUGGCUUGAUACAUGGUUACCGGUGGAAAAUGAGCUGCUAUUUUACUAUACCCCUUACUUGGGAAUGUCCCUGACAGACAGUUGUGAGGAAAAUCCCUUAGGCAGAGUAUCUGUCAGUUCAUUUGGUCAUUCAUUUGUAUAAUAAGAAAAGUCGUCCAAACUAAGGGUAUACGUGAACUCUUAGGCAAUAGUUAAUGGUUUAGCUCUCUGGUGAGAAGUCAGAAAGGAGUAAGAUUGGAAGAUUGGGAUCAAGUAGGACUAGAAAAGAAGCAUGUAUUUAGACCUAUGGGAGUGGGCACGUGGUGUGAGCAUGUUUGUAUUGCAUGCUAACUCUCUCCACCCCCUUUUAUGCCAUUUCUCAUUAUAUCUACCAAAUCAUUUGUACUGCAGAAUCUUUUAUAUUUUUCACUGGACUGAUUAUAUGAAUGUAGUAUUAAUUAACAUGUUUCUCCACACCCAUGUUUUUGCAAUAAUUUGGCAGUAGAUCCAGAUUUGAUUAGAUUCAUCUUUGCUUUUUUCUUUUUUUGGCAAUAACAGACCAUAGAGAGGUGAUAUAAUCUGAACUUCCUAUUGCAUCAGGAAGAACAUAAUGUAUUCUCUUAUUUUUAUUUAGGUUAAGAUGGAUCAAGUGUUGUCAUCUAUCCAUUAAAAAUUUUUCCCAUCAAUCUUUCAUCUAAUAGUUUUAGCAUUUAUUAUUUAAUUCAAGGUGCAAAGUGGUGAUGUUUCAAUUCUAAUAUUACUCCUGAAUUUACUAGUUGUUAUUGUUUUCUAAAGAGGAAAUUUCAUACAUUUUUUGAGUAUUCUGAAAUACAGUCUUAAUAGGAAAGACAGAAUAAAUGUUAUAUUUUCUUCUUUUAUUAUUAUAAUAAUGAGUUCUUGUCUUAUUAAUCAUCAAAGCCAAUAUAUGGAUUUCCUUUUGAAUAUCAUUAUGAAGUUAAGAAGUUUCUUUAUGAAUAUUAUUAUGAUGUUAACAUAUAUCUAUAUCUGUAUAUCUAUAUCAAGAUAUAUAUUUUGAUCUAUUGCUGUCAUCUUUUAUUACACUAUUUGUUUCACGUUUGGCAAAUGAUGUUAGGAAAUAAAUUUUUUUU